rnacentral:rRNA from 1 species
UACGUAGGGGGCAAGCGUUAUCCGGAUUUACUGGGUGUAAAGGGAGCGUAGACGGCAGCGCAAGUCUGGAGUGAAAUCCCAUGGCUUAACCAUGGAACUGCUUUGGAAACUGUGCAGCUGGAGUGCAGAAGAGGAGAGUGGAACUCCAUGUGUAGCGGUGAAAUGCGUAGAUAUAUGGAAGAACACCAGUGGCGAAAGCGGCUCUCUGGUCUGUAACUGACGCUGAGGUUCGAAAGCGUGGGUAGCAAACAGG